rnacentral:rRNA from 1 species
GACGAACGCUGGCGGCGUGCUUAACACAUGCAAGUCGAGCGGAAAGGCCCCUUGUGGGUACUCGAGCGGCGAACGGGUGAGUAACACGUGAGUAAUCUGCCCUUCACUUCAGGAUAGCUCCCGGAAACGGGGAUUAAUACUGGAUAUGACACAUUCGCGCAUGUGGGUGUGUGGAAAGUUUUUUCGGUGGGGGAUGUGCUCGCGGCCUAUCGGCUUGAUGGUGGGGUAAUGGCCUACCAUGGCUUCGACGGGUAGCCGGCGUGAGGGGGUGACCGGUAAACUUGGGACGAAGACACGCCCAAGACUCUAGCGGGGGGAAGCAGUGGGGAAUAUUGGAAAAGGGGCGGAAGCCUGAUCCAGCAACGCCGCGUGAGGGAUGACGGCCUUCGGGUUGUAAACCUUUUUCAGCACAGACGAAGCGCAAGUGACGGUAUGUGCAGAAGAAGGACCGGCCAACUACGUGCCAGCCGCCGCCGUAAGAC